UAAAUUGUUGAUAACCAGAAAGGUUAUUUUUGACCGGCUUCGACAACCGCGAGUCAAAAAUUGGCGCCGUUGCCGGGGAAUUGAUUUAACUUAUUUGUUUUUCUUUCAGGACCAAAUUCCAAAAAAAAAAAAAAAAAAGGAGAGCACUCUGCGCAGAACCAUCUUCUGAAACAUCUCAAUUGCACAUCUGAAUCAUAGAUGAGGUAAGUAGAUCUUAUUUUUCUUUUCUGACAUCUUUUAUGAAAGACCUUGCCAUAGACAUAGUGCAACAGGUUCAAGCAUCUCAG
rnacentral:lncRNA from 1 species